GACGAACGCUGGCGGCGUGCCUAAUACAUGCAAGUCGAACGCUUCUUUCCUCCCGAGUGCUUGCACUCAAUUGGAAAGAGGAGUGGCGGACGGGUGAGUAACACGUGGGUAACCUACCCAUCAGAGGGGGAUAACACUUGGAAACAGGUGCUAAUACCGCAUAACAGUUUAUGCCGCAUGGCAUAAGAGUGAAAGGCGCUUUCGGGUGUCGUUGAUGGAUGGACCCGCGGUGCAUUAGCUAGUUGGUGAGGUAACGGCUCACCAAGGCCACGAUGCAUAGCCGACCUGAGAGGGUGAUCGGCCACCCUGGGACUGGGACCCGGCCCAGACUCCUACGGGAGGCAGCAGUAGGGAAUCUUCGGCAAUGGACGAAAGUCUGACCGAGCAACGCCGCGUGAGUGAAGAAGGUUUUCGGAUCGUAAAACUCUGUUGUUAGAGAAGAACAAGGACGUUAGUAACUGAACGUCCCCUGACGGUAUCUAACCAGAAAGCCACGGCUAACUACGU
rnacentral:rRNA from 1 species